UAAAGGCAUUCAUAACUGGAGGAAGAAAAGCAUCUUUUUCAAGCUUCCUUAUUGGAAAAAUAAUUUAAUAUGUCAUAAUUUAGAUGUGAUGCAUAUUGAGAAAAAUGUGUGCGAUAAUAUCAUUGGGACAUUAUUAGAUAUUGAAGGAAAAACAAAAGAUAAUUUGAAUGUUCGUCAUGAUUUGAAGGAAAUGGGUAUAAGAAGUCAGUUGCAUCCAACUCAAAGGGAUGGAAGAUGGUGUUAUCCGGCAGCAUGCUAUUCUUUAUCAGCAGAUGAGAAGUCUAAAGUAUGCAAGUUCUUGAAAAUGAUUAAGGUUCCAAAUGGUUAUUCUUCUAAUAUAUCAUGGUGGGUGAAGUAAGAAGAUCGUAAAAUUUAUGGACUGAAGAGUCAUGAUUCUCAUAUUCUAUUGGAACAAUUGCUUCCUCUUGCAAUUCGCGGAGUCGUGCCAAAUAAUGUAUAUGAUGCUAUCACUGAGUUAAGUAUUUUCUUUAGAGAAUUGUGCUCGAAAACAUUAAGGGUUGAUGUGUUGGACCAACUUGCAACUCAAAUUCCGAUAACAUUGAGCAAAUUAGAGAAAAUAUUUCUACCGGCAUUUUUUGAUGUUAUGGUACACUUAGUCAUUCAUCUUCCAAGAGAGGCUAAGCUUGGUGGACCUGUACAAUAUAGGUGGAUGUACCCAAUUGAGCGAAGGGUAUAUUGUUGAAGAAAGUAUAAUAUUUUGUUCAAGGUACUUACCUGGAAAUGUGAAAGGAUAUGAUCGAAUGGAUAAGAAUUAUGAAGAUGAUCGUAUUAAGACAUAUAGUGGAUUAUCCGUAUUUGAAAGAAAAGGUUCUCCUUUAU